AUCCUUUCAUAGUUCAUAAGCAUGAUUGGGUUUUCAUGCGUAUGCAUGAGAUAUGCCUCCCACAAAUCUUGUUACGAUGUUGGCACAUUACCCAUCUGACA